UACGGAGGGUGCAAGCGUUACCCGGAAUCACUGGGCGUAAAGGGCGUGUAGGCGGGAUGUUAAGUCUGACUUUAAAGACUGUGGCUCAACCACAGGAGUGGGCUGGAUACUGGCAUUCUAGACAACUGGAGAGGCGAUUGGAAUUCCUGGUGUAGCGGUGAAAUGCGCAGAUAUCAGGAGGAACACCGGUGGCGAAAGGCGGGUCUCUGGGCCGUAACUGACGCUGAGGAGCGAAAGCAUGGGGAGCGAACAGG
rnacentral:rRNA from 1 species